rnacentral:rRNA from 1 species
GUGCCAGCAGCCGCGGUAAUACGUAGGGGGCUAGCGUUAUCCGGAAUUACUGGGCGUAAAGGGUGCGUAGGUGGUUUCUUAAGUCAGAGGUGAAAGGCUACGGCUCAACCGUAGUAAGCCUUUGAAACUGAGAAACUUGAGUGCAGGAGAGGAGAGUAGAAUUCCUAGUGUAGCGGUGAAAUGCGUAGAUAUUAGGAGGAAUACCAGUUGCGAAGGCGGCUCUCUGGACUGUAACUGACACUGAGGCACGAAAGCGUGGGGAGCAAACAGGAUUAGAUACCCUGGUAGUCC